rnacentral:rRNA from 1 species
GAUGAACGCUAGCUACAGGCUUAACACAUGCAAGUCGAGGGACCGGCGCACGGGUGAGUAACACGUAUCCAACCUGCCCUUUACUCGGUGAUAGCCUUUCGAAAGAAAGAUUAAUACCCGAUAUAAAGGGUGGGGAUGCGUUCGAUUAGUUUGUUGGUGAGGUAACGGCUCACCAAGCCUUCGAUGGAUAGGGGUUCUGAGAGGAAGGUCCACUACAAUUGAACUGAGACACGGUCCAAACUCGUACGCGAGGGAGGAGUGUGGUAUAUUGGGGAAUGGGCGCUAGCCGGAACCAGCCAAGUAGCGUGAAGGAGGAUUGGUUAUGGGUCGUAAACUUCUUGGAUAGAAGAAUAUGUAUUAUAUGAAUAAGCAUCGGCUAACUCCGUGCCAGCAGCCGCGGUAAUUC